rnacentral:rRNA from 1 species
UCGAACGAUGAAGCCCUUCGGGGUGGAUUAGUGGCGAACGGGUGAGUAACACGUGGGCAAUCUGCCCUUCACUCUGGGACAAGCCCUGGAAACGGGGUCUAAUACCGGAUAAUACUUUCUCCCGCAUGGGAGAGGGUUGAAAGCUCCGGCGGUGAAGGAUGAGCCCGCGGCCUAUCAGCUUGUUGGUGGGGUGAUGGCCUACCAAGGCGACGACGGGUAGCCGGCCUGAGAGGGCGACCGGCCACACUGGGACUGAGACACGGCCCAGACUCCUACGGGAGGCAGCAGUGGGGAAUAUUGCACAAUGGGCGAAAGCCUGAUGCAGCGACGCCGCGUGAGGGAUGACGGCCUUCGGGUUGUAAACCUCUUUCAGCAGGGAAGAAGCGAAAGUGACGGUACCUGCAGAAGAAGCGCCGGCUAACUACGUGCCAGCAGCCGCGGUAAUACGUAGGGCGCAAGCGUUGUCCGGAAUUAUUGGGCGUAAAGAGCUCGUAGGCGGCUUGUCACGUCGGAUGUGAAAGCCCGGGGCUUAACCCCGGGUCUGCAUUCGAUACGGGCAGGCUAGAGUGUGGUAGGGGAGAUCGGAAUUCCUGGUGUAGCGGUGAAAUGCGCAGAUAUCAGGAGGAACACCGGUGGCGAAGGCGGAUCUCUGGGCCAUUACUGACGCUGAGGAGCGAAAGCGUGGGGAGCGAACAGGAUUAGAUAC